ACUAACAGGAUUCCCCUAGUAACUGCGAGUGAAGCGGGAAAAGCUCAAAUUUAAAAUCUGGCGGUCUAUGGCUGUCCGAGUUGUAAUCUAGAGAAGUAAUGCCCGUGCUGGACCGUGUAUAAGUCUCCUGGGAUGGGGCGUCAUAGAGGGUGAGAAUCCCGUCUUUGACACGGACUACCAGUGCAUUGUGGUAUGCUCUCAAAGAGUCGAGUUGUUUGGGAAUGCAGCUCAAAAUGGGUGGUAAAUUCCAUCUAAAGCUAAAUAUUGGCGAGAGACCGAUAGCGAACAAGUACCGUGAGGGAAAGAUGAAAAGAACUUUGGAAAGAGAGUUAAACAGUACGUGAAAUUGCUGAAAGGGAAACGCUUGAAGUCAGUCGCGUUGGCCAGGGAUCAGCCUUGCUUUUGCAUGGUGUACUUUCUGGUUGACGGGUCAGCAUCAAUUUUGACCGCUGGAAAAGGGCCUGGGGAAUGUAGCAGCUUCGGCUGUGUUAUAGCCCCUGGUCGCAUACGGUGGUUGGGAUUGAGGAACUCAGCACGCCGCAAGGCCGGGUUUCGACCACGUUCGUGCUUAGGAUGCUGGCAUAAUGGCUUUAAGCGACCCGUCUUGAAACACGGACCAAGGAGUCUAACAUGCCUGCGAGUAUUUGGGUGGAAAACCCGAGUGCGCAAUGAAAGUGAAAGUUGAGAUCCCUGUCGUGGGGAGCAUCGACGCCCGGACCAGAACUUUUGGGACGGAUCCGCGGUGGAGCAUGUAUGUUGGGACCCGAAAGAUGGUGAACUAUGCCUGAAUAGGGUGAAGCCAGAGGAAACUCUGGUGGAGGCUCGUAGCGAUUCUGACGUGCAAAUCGAUCGUCAAAUUUGGGUAUAGGGGCGAAAGACUAAUCG
rnacentral:rRNA from 1 species